GAGUGGAAGCUCCUGAGUACAAAGCACCUUACACAUAACAUGCAUCCAGCAAUGACAACUGCUACUAUCCAAAUGGGUUUACAGAUAAGAUCUAGGGAGGGUGGGGAGCUUGCUGGUGGCCUUGGAUCCUGUAGCUGGCAGUAGCAACCCCCCGCUCCCACCAGCCUGCACCUCCUCCACCAAGGGGUGGAGCCCCUUGCUCUGCCCAUGGAUGAAGCCUGGUGAUGCGCUGUGACCACCGACUGAAACACAAGAGGGUUUGUGCCGCUUGUGAGCCUAGGUGAAAACUCCAUGAGGUUGGACCAGGCUUUCUGGAAACACUGGAAUCCCUCGUGGGUCAGCCCAACCUCAAGGUAGAACUCUCGAGUCGCAUUCUGCACAGUGGGAAGCACCUGUGUCAGGGCCUGGCUCUGCAAAGAAAGGAUGCCCUCCUGAGGGGACACAGCCCCAGGCUGGCACCGCAGCCCAAUGCCCACCAGCAACUUCCUCGCAGAAGCAGCCAUGCCUGCACCCCUUCUUCUCUUAGGGAAUUUAAAUAUUUAUAAAAUGCUGUGAGACGUUUAUGGGGAAACAGUGUAAACCAAAAAUAAAUUGGGGAGAAUGUUUUCAGAGG